UAAAAGGUAGGCUAUAUUUAAGCCUAUAGGCUCAUAACCUAUCGAAAAGAUUAAUCUUCCUUUUAA
rnacentral:tRNA from 1 species